rnacentral:rRNA from 1 species
GACGAACCGUGCGAACGUUGUUCGGAAUCACUGGGCUUAAAGGGCGCGUAGGCGGGCGGUCUCGUCGGGGGUGAAAUCCUGCCGCUCAACGGCAGACUGCCCCCGAUACGGGCCGUCUCGAGGGAGGUAGGGGCCUGCGGAACUUCCGGUGGAGCGGUGAAAUGCGUAGAUAUCGGAAGGAACGCCGGUGGCGAAAGCGGCGGGCUGGACCUCUUCUGACGCUGAGGCGCGAAAGCCAGGGGAGCCGAA